CUCGCCAAAAUAUUCACCGUCGCCCAAAAGAGCAAUCCGCAAAUCCUCGCCGUGAGAGCCCUUGCUGAUGACCUCAGCCUGUCCGCUGGCUACAAUGAAGAAACGUUGCUUAUCCUUGCCUUCCUCCACGAAGAAUUUAUCGACAUCGACCUCCUUGGCCUCGAACGAACUGACCAGACGGUUCAGUAUCUCGUCGUCGAACUCAGAGAAGAGAGGAAUAGCCUUGAGGUUCUUCGCUGUAAACGAUGGUACACCGUUCACAUACUGGAUGGGCAGUCGGUCGUUUUUGCGUAACUCGACCUUCGUGCGGUUCACACGGAACGUGCCGCCACUGACCUGCACCCAAGGCAGGAGUUUCAGUAACAGUCUCGGGGUUAUCGAGCCCAUCUGUGGGGCGGUCUUGGUGGUGGUUGCCAGUCUUCUGGCUGUUGCUGUAGUUACAC
rnacentral:antisense_RNA from 1 species